GCUCAGAAACUCAAUGAAUUGACGGGGCCCGCACAAGCGGUGGAGCACGUGGUUUAAUUCGAUGCAACGCGAAGAACCUUACCUGGUCUUGACAUCCCGGAGACCCUUAGGAAACUAGGGGGUGCUUCCAUCUGGAAGAAUCUGGAGACAGGUGCUGCAUGGCUGUCGUCAGCUCGUGUCGUGAGAUGUUGGGUUAAGUCCCGCAACGAGCGCAACCCUUGCCUUUAGUUGCCAGCAGUUCGGCUGGGCACUCUAAAGGGACUGCCGGUGUUAAACCGGAGGAAGGUGGGGAUGACGUCAAGUCCUCAUGGCCUUUAUGACCAGGGCUACACACGUACUACAAUGGCCGAUACAAAGGGCAGCGACACUGCGAGGUGAAGCCAAUCCCGUAAAAUCGGUCUCAGUCCGGAUUGGAGUCUGCAACUCGACUCCAUGAAGUUGGAAUCGCUAGUAAUCGUGGAUCAGCAUGCCACGGUGAAUACGUUCCCGGGCCUU
rnacentral:rRNA from 1 species